ACCUGCAGGGUAGGCCGUAGACACGGUGAUCUUACACCUCGCUGAACCUCGGGAGCGCGCCGGCGAGAGUCCGGCUCCGGACAACCC
rnacentral:tRNA from 1 species